rnacentral:rRNA from 1 species
GACGUAGGGCGCAAGCGUUGUCCGGAUUUAUUGGGCGUAAAGAGCUCGUAGGCGGCCUGUCGCGUCGACCGUGAAAACCCGCAGCUCAACUGCGGGCUUGCGGUCGAUACGGGCAGGCUGGAGUUCGGUAGGGGAGACUGGAAUUCCUGGUGUAGCGGUGAAAUGCGCAGAUAUCAGAAGGAACACCAGUGGCGAAAGCGGCUUCCUGGUCCAGCACCGACGUUCAGGCACGAAAGCGUGGGGAGCAAACAGG